rnacentral:lncRNA from 1 species
UCAAUCUAAUUAUUUGAUUAACAUCAAGUUUUUUACAUACAUUUAUAAUAAGUACAAAAACAAAUUAACCAAUUUUUAUUUGUGAAUAUACUAUAAAACUCUCAAAAUUUUGAAAUUUGUAAACCUAUUUUUAUUUCUCAAAAUCUAAAUCCACCUAGUUCAUUAUUAACUUUGAAAAUCCCUCAAAAUCUCAAUAUUAAUUCAAUUUAUAUGAAACAAAUAUUUUAAAAAAAAUCUUCUAGUUUUCUCUUAAUUUCUAUUUUUUGAUUUAUAAAAGAAUCUUGAAAUUAUUGUAGGUCCUCGGUUUUAUACUUCAAGGUCUGAUUUCGACCCUAGUUGGCAAUUGAUAUCAAUUCUUGUCUUCUUGAGAUAAUUUUUCUAUAAUAAACUCUUAACUUCUUCUUUUAUAUGCCUUUAUUUUUAUUUUUUUAAUCUAUCUUAUUUUUCCUUAUUUAUGGCUCUACAAAAUA